rnacentral:lncRNA from 1 species
CUCUCUGCGGAAGCCAGCCACCGCUCUCCAAGGACUCUCGAGCAGCUCCAUCUACAGAUUCACAUGGAGAAGAAUUAAGGGUUCCUGCCAAUCACCAGCACCACUUUGCCAGCCUUGUAAGUGGGCCACCUUGGAAUUGGAGCCUCCAGUUCCUACUGACAUCUGACUGCAACAUCAUGAGAGACCCUGAGUUUGAACCACCCAGCUGAGCUGCUUCUGAGCUAACCCACUGAAACCACAGUUGGCAUCUGUGUGAAGAUGUGAAUGGAGGAGGCAGAGUAGGCAGUGAGUGCCGCAGCCACAGCUUGUGUUCUCUGCAGCCCUGGCACAGAAGAUAGGAACACUCAUGGGGGAUGCGGCCACUGUGAUGUCUUCCCACACAAGAAGUGCCAAGUGCUUUUCUCAUGCUUUUCUGGAUUGUCCCAUGGUGGACGAGUCAGCAGGAGUGAGAUGGAGCAGCACAGUAGAGGGGUGUGCCACCUCUUUGAUCCAGCAAGUGGGAAGAACAGUCCCGGCCUCUUUGCACACAAGACCGUGAUACCAAUGCACCAUCACAGGCCCCACAGGGGAGCUGUCCGCUUCCCCACACAGCUGCUAGGGGCUCUUUUGCAUGUUCCCAACCUUUCCUGCCUUUAUCUGAUAUUCGUUCCUUAGAUCCUGGGAUGAGGAGGUGGACCAGCAGAAGGUGGGCUUGUGAAGGCAGCCCGGGGUCCAAAUCCUCCUGGCUCUUCAGCUUAGCGGGAUGUCACCUUCAGCGUCUGAAAGCUGGGUUUGAUGCGUCUGGAAAGGCGUCCCUGACAGGCGUCGUUGCCAGGAGCCCCUAGUGCCACCAGCAGCCAGCAGGGGAGGGCGUCCUCUGCCCGCUCACUUCUGACCCUUCUCUCGUUGCACCCGGAACAUGGUGCAGCUGGGAGCAGCCUGGGCUGCGCGGAAGGCUCAGAUUUGGGGACGGCCCUUGCCAGUGACUGUGAGCUGGGGUGUCUUGGAAACUCCCAGUCUCAGCUUCUCCAUUUAUAAGAUGAGAAUGAUCAUACCAGACUCAGGCAAGGUUGUUUGUGCAUUAGUGAAAUCAGACGUAUUAAAUAAAGUACCACAUUGAUCGUGGAGUUGUUGAAUAACCAAGAA